rnacentral:rRNA from 1 species
AUUGAACGCUGGCGGCAGGCCUAAUACAUGCAAGUCGAGCGGAUGAAGGGAGCUUGCUCCUGGAUUCAGCGGCGGACGGGUGAGUAAUGCCUAGGAAUCUGCCUGGUAGUGGGGGAUAACGUCCGGAAACGGGCGCUAAUACCGCAUACGUCCUGAGGGAGAAAGUGGGGGAUCUUCGGACCUCACGCUAUCAGAUGAGCCUAGGUCGGAUUAGCUAGUUGGUGGGGUAAAGGCCUACCAAGGCGACGAUCCGUAACUGGUCUGAGAGGAUGAUCAGUCACACUGGAACUGAGACACGGUCCAGACUCCUGCGGGAGGCAGCAGUGGGGAAUAUUGGACAAUGGGCGAAAGCCUGAUCCAGCCAUGCCGCGUGUGUGAAGAAGGUCUUCGGAUUGUAAAGCACUUUAAGUUGGGAGGAAGGGCAGUAAGUUAAUACCUUGCUGUUUUGACGUUACCAACAGAAUAAGCACCGGCUAACUUCGUG